AACGAACGCUGGCGGCAGGCUUAACACAUGCAAGUCGAAUGCCCCGCAAGGGGAGUGGCAGACGGGUGAGUAACACGUGGGAACGCCCCCCUCGGUCUGGAAUAACUCAGGGAAACUUGAGCUAAUACCGGAUACGUCCGAGAGGAGAAAGAUUUAUUGCCGAGGGAUCGGCCCGCGUCUGAUUAGCUAGUUGGUGAGGUAAUGGCUCACCAAGGCGACGAUCAGUAGCUGGUCUGAGAGGAUGAUCAGCCACACUGGGACUGAGACACGGCCCAGACUCCUACGGGAGGCGGCAGUGGGGAAUAUUGGACAAUGGGCGAAAGCUUGAUCCAGCCAUGCCGCGUGAGUGAUGAAGGCCUUAGGGUUGUAAAGCUCUUUUACCAGGGAAGAUAAUGACUGUACCUGGAGAAUAAGCCCCGGCUAACUUCGUGCCAGCCGCCGCCGUAA
rnacentral:rRNA from 1 species